rnacentral:rRNA from 1 species
UACGUAGGGGGCUAGCGUUGUCCGGAAUCAUUGGGCGUAAAGGGCGCGUAGGUGGCCCAGUAAGCGUGCGGUGAAAGCUCGGGGCUCAACCCCGAGUCGGCCGUGCGAACUACUGGGCUGGAGCACUGUAGAGGGAUGCGGAAUUCCAGGUGUAGCGGUGAAAUGCGUAGAUAUCUGGAGGAACACCGGUGGCGAAGGCGGCAUCCUGGACCAACACUGACGCUGAGUGAGCGAAAGCCAGGGGAGCGAACGGG